rnacentral:rRNA from 1 species
GCAUAAAAAAACCUCCGAAAGAUUUUAACUAAGACACACAAGUCAAAGUAAUAAUUAUCCUAUUGACCCAAUUUUUGAUCAACGGACCA